rfam:TPA: Bos taurus chromosome 24, whole genome shotgun sequence.
CAAGAGGCUCUUUAGAAGAGAGCCACUAAUCUAGAACAAAAAAUAAUUU